rnacentral:rRNA from 1 species
GAUGAACGCUGGCGGCGUGCUUAACACAUGCAAGUCGAACGAAGCUACCCAAAGGAAGUUUUCGGAUGGAAUUUAGGUAGACUUAGUGGCGGACGGGUGAGUAACGCGUGGAUAACCUGCCUUAUACAGGGGGAUAACGGAGAGAAAUUUCCGCUAACACCGCAUAAGACCACAGCACCGCAUGGUGCAGGGGUAAAAUAUUUAUAGGUAUAAGAUGGAUCCGCGUCCGAUUAGCUAGUUGGUGAGACUAAAGGCCCACCAAGGCGACGAUCGGUAGCCGGCCUGAGAGGGUGAACGGCCACAUUGGGACUGAGACACGGCCCAAACUCCUACGGGAGGCAGCAGUGGGGAAUAUUGGACAAUGGGGGAAACCCUGAUCCAGCGACGCCGCGUGAGUGAAGAAGUAUUUCGGUAUGUAAAGCUCUAUCAGCAGGGAAGAAAAUGACGGUACCUGACUAAGAAGCCCCGGCUAACUACGUGCCAGCAGCCGCGGUAAUACGCAGGGGGCAAGCGUUAUCCGGAUUUACUGGGUGUAAAGGGGAGCGCAGACGGCAAUGCAAGUCUGAAGUGAAAGGCGUGGGCUCAACCCAUGAACUGCUUUGGAAACUGUAUAGCUUGAGUGUCGGAGGGGUAAGCGGAAUUCCUAGUGUAGCGGUGAAAUGCGUAGAUAUUAGGAGGAACACCGGAGGCGAAGGCGGCUUACUGGACGACAACUGACGUUGAGGCUCGAAGGCGUGGGAGCAAACAGG